GGCGGCGGUCCGCGGGUGACAUGCAGUCCCUCAUCUCUCCGGUGACCAAGGCUAUCCUGGUGGCUUUGUUCAUCUUCGCCAUCCUGCUGAUCCUCUACGUGAUUCUGUGGUACAUCUGCCGCGAUGUGGAUUGCGACCAUGGGAUCUGAGCGGCGCCGCGGGGCCAGGGCUUAGGAGCCGGGAUUCACCCCGCGGGGCCGGGAGCGGCAGCGGGAGCCCCUCCGGGCGGCAGCCGCCGCCACCGCGGCCGAGCAGGGGAAGAGAAGGGGAAGGAAAGAAAAGAAGAAAAAAAGAAAAAAAAAAAAAAAAAAAGAAAGCGAGCGAGGGACCGAGCCGAAAGAGCCCGGAGGACAACUGCGAUCAAGAAACCAACCUGAGCUUGACCUUCAGAGACCAGGGUGACCCGGAUUUUCACCUGUGUGAAGCAAUCAUUGGUGGAGUCCAGAAACUGCAUCUGUAA
rnacentral:lncRNA from 1 species